rnacentral:rRNA from 1 species
AUGUGUAACGCCCCAUUCGUGCACCCGAACUACAUUGUUGAGUUGCAUGGAAAGCUGGCAUUGGUAGCGAGGACCUGGCAUGGCAUCAGCCGUGUACCUUCUUUCAGGGUGUUUAAGCUUGUUGACGACUCAACGACGGGGCAUGCUGGCAUGUGGGAGGAAGUAAUGAGCUUGGGUGAUUGCGCUUUGUUUUUGGGGGGCAAAUGGUCCAAAGCAGUGUACAUCCCAAUGACCGGACGCGGCGAGGUGCAAAGAAGCUGCGUCUAUGAUGAUGAUGCAACAUACUUGACGAGUUUUGACUGCCAUGGUGACAGUGUGUAUCCUUUGCAAGAGAGUAAUAGUGUCAUGCCGACGAUAAAAUCAGUGGGAUCUUAUGAAGUUGUCCGCUCGCCUGGCAUGUGGAUUCUUCCUCCAAAUUUCGAGCUUAUCAAGACUAGUCAAGUGUAUUCCGCAAAAAGAAAAAAGAAGAGACUAGUCAAGUGUAGGUCCUUUAAAUUUAUUCCUGGUGUAUAA